ACUAUACAUAAUCAACACCUCCACGUGGUGUGUAGUGGGCAACGUAUGAAUAAUACGGCUAAGUUGUAU
rnacentral:ribozyme from 1 species